GAGAGAGAGACAUUGUAAUUCAGAGAGGGAGAGAGACGGAAGGAUGAGGUGAAGGAAUGGAGGAAUCAAAAUGCAUGCUGGGUAUUGCGUUACCUGUCGGGGGACGAGGAUUUCUCUGAGUUCACGGACAUGAGCGGUGCCUGUUAGCCGCUCGCUGGCCGAGGGUCCGCGCAGAGACGAGAGAACGACCAGACGCCAACACUGCUUACCCUCUCUCUCUCUCUCCCUCUCUCUCUGAAAUAUCUGUUUAUAUCUCCCUCUCUCUCUCUCUCUCUCUCUCUCUCUCUCUCUAUCCUCCGCUGUGCAGUCUGAUGAGGAAAGGGGAGGGGGUGUCAGGAGGGAGGGAGGGAGGGGUGCUACUGCCUCCCCUCCUCUGUCUCCUCCUCUGUCUCUCUCUCGCUCGCUCCUCGUCGCUCUCUCUCUCUGCCUCUCUGCCUCUCUCGUCCGCCUGCUCAAAGCGCCGGCGAGGAUGGGGGACCAGCGGCCACAAAGGCGCGCUGCAGCUUGGCCGGGGCUGGCCGCAGUCCGCCGCGAGGAGACGGCGUCGCGCGGGCACGUGCGUGCGUGCGUGCGCGUCUGCGCGAGCGCAUGGGUGUGCGCCGAGUGCGUGGCGAGUGUGUGCGGCUCCUCGUGUGUGUGAGCGCGCAUGUGCGUGUCUGAGAGGAGAGCCGCCGAGACGAGUAAAGUCAGCCAAGAUGUCAGAUCCGCUCCGGCUGCUUCCUUCCUUCCUUCCUCCUUCCCCGCCUUCUCCUCCUCCUCCUCCUCCUCCUCCUGCUGCUGUCCUCUCUCUCUCUCUCUCUCUCUCUCUCUCUCUCUCUCUCUCUCUCUCUCUCUCUCUCUCGGUCCUUAGAGUGGAUCUCCUUCAGGUCCUCUCUGUGUUCCUUUGGCGACGCCGGUCCAGUAGAGCGACGAUAUGAGACACCCACACUAGAUCCAGUGGGUCUUUCUCCCUCUCUCUCUCUCUCUCUCUCUCUCUCUUUCUCCUUCUCUGUCUCUCUCUAUCUCUCUCUGUCUCUCUCUCUCUAUCUCUCCUUUUUGGUGUCUGUCUCUCACUCUCUAUAUAUUUUGUUCCCUCUCUAGUACUUUCUUUCUCUCUCCAUCUCUCUCUCUCUCUCUCUGCCUCUGUCUAGCUGACUCUGUCAGGCCUUCUGCAGCUCUGCACAACAACAGAGCCCAGAGCGAGUUGGAACGUUCCACUGUCUGCGCUGGCGGAGGGGUGUUCCAGCCUCGUGCAACAGCGAGAGAAACCGGCGCAUUUUUCCUAAGAGUGGUGCUCUUCACCUCCCCCCCCGUCCUAGCAUUACAUUAGUCACUCCCUCAGUGCCU
ensembl:lncRNA